rnacentral:lncRNA from 1 species
CCCUUCUGGGGCUGCCCCCCCUUUCUUGUUGCAGCAGAAUCCCUUUCUGCGGGGAUGGACGUGUGCAAAGGGCUUGGAGGAAGCGCUGCGCUGCUGUCCGGGGCAGUCGGACUCGUUCUGUGCCUUCUUUGGGGCUCAGGGAAAGGGGGUGAAGACUCGGGGCUCUGAUGCCUUUUGGGGCAUCCCAAGGUCCCCAGGAGAGGGAACCCCACUGCGGUGCAGGAGCAGGGUCUGGGGGAACACCUGGAUUCGCGCUUGGAUACGUGGAGCAUCGCUUAAAGGAGGUGCCGAGGGACGAGUCUUUGUGCCGGGGAGCAGCAGCCGAACAGGUCCGUGCUGGUUGCCGUGUCCUCGGUGGGCAGAGAGCUCUGGCCUUGGCCGGAUGGGCUGACAGCCAGUUCUGA